ACUCCUACGGGAGGCAGCAGUGGGGAAUUUUGGGCAAUGGGCGAAAGCCUGACCCAGCAACGCCGCGUGAAGGAUGAAAUCCUUUGGGAUGUAAACUUCGCAAGAACGGGAAGAAUAAGUAAGAGUUAAUAUCUCUUAUGAUGACGGUACUGUUUGUAAGCUCCGGCUAACUCCGUGCCAGCAGCCGCGGUAAUACGGGGGGAGCAAGCGUUGUUCGGAUUUACUGGGCGUAAAGGGCGCGUAGGCGGCCACCGCAAGUCGACUGUGAAAUCUCCGGGCUUAACCCGGAAAGGUCAGCCGAUACUGCGGGGCUAGAGUGCAGAAGGGGCAACUGGAAUUCUCGGUGUAGCGGUGAAAUGCGUAGAUAUCGAGAGGAACACCUGCGGCGAAGGCGGGUUGCUGGGCUGACACUGACGCUGAGGCGCGAAAGCUAGGGGAGCGAACGGGAUUAGAUACCCCGGUAGUCCUAGCCUUAAACGAUGAAUGCUUGGUGUCUGGGGUUUUAUAGUCCCCGGGUGCCGUCGCUAACGCUUUAAGCAUUCCGCCUGGGGAGUACGGUCGCAAGACUGAAACUCAAAGGAAUUGACGGGGACCCGCACAAGCGGUGGAGCAUGUGGUUUAAUUCGACGCAACGCGAAGAACCUUACCUGGGCUAGAAUGCCUCUGACCGGCGUAGAGAUACGCUUUCCUGGGUAAAACCAGGCAGAGUGCAAGGUGCUGCAUGGCUGUCGUCAGCUCGUGUCGUGAGAUGUUGGGUUAAGUCCCGCAACGAGCGCAACCCUUAUCAAUAGUUGCCAGCGGUUCGGCCGGGCACUCUAUUGAGACUGCCGUUGACAAAACGGAGGAAGGUGGGGAUGACGUCAAGUCCUCAUGGCCUUUAUGUCCAGGGCUACACACGUGCUACAAUGGCAAGUACAAAGCGCUGCAAAAGAGCAAUCUGGAGCCAAUCGCAAAAAGCUUGUCUCAGUUCGGAUUGGAGUCUGCAACUCGACUCCAUGAAGUUGGAAUCGCUAGUAA
rnacentral:rRNA from 1 species